UCCGACGGGUGGAGCCUGCGGUUUAUUGGACUCACGCCGGGCAGCUCACCGGAUAGGACAGCGGAAUGAUAGCCGGGCUGAAGACCUUGCUUGACCAGCUGAGAGGAGGUGCAUGGCCGUCGUCAGUUCGUACUGUGAAGCAUCCUGUUUAGUCAGGCAACGAGCGAGACCCACGCCAACAGUUGCUAGCAUGUUCUCCGGAAUGAUGAGGACACUGUUGGGACCGCCUCUGCUAAAGAGGAGGAAGGAAUGGGCAACGGUAGGUCAGCAUGCCCCGAAUUAUCCGGGCUACACGCGGGCUACAAUGGUCAAGGACAAUGGGAAACGGCACUGAAAAGUGUAGUCAAUCUCCUAAACCUGUCCCAAGUUCGGAUUGUGGGCUGCAACUCGCCCACAUGAAGCUGGAAUCCGUAGUAAUCGCGUUUCAAAAUAGCGCGGUGAAUAAGUCCCUGUCCCAUUGCACACAU
rnacentral:rRNA from 1 species